GGCUGGCCUGCGGUGCAUCCUAUAGGGAACCAGCUUGCCAGUCAAGUGGAGGCACGCUACAACGGGAACCAUGCCAAGGCAAGAAGCAUCAUUGGAUGUGCCUUUGGUGGUUUGAAGACGCGGUGGCGUUUCAUCAUCUUAAGGGCACUGGAGGUCCGCCCGACGUUUGCCCCAAAAAAGAAACUCACUUAGAUAGUAAAAACAUUUAUA